GAGCACGUAGGUGGGUUUGUAAGUCAGAUGUGAAAGCCUUCUGUUCAACGGAAGAAUUGCAUCUGAAACUGCGAGUCUUGAGUGUAGAAGGGGAGAAUGGAACUUCUGGUGGAGCGGUGAAAUGCGUAGAUAUCAGAAGGAACGCCGGCGGCGAAAGCGAUUCUCUGGCCUAUUACUGACACUCAGUGUGCGAAAGCUAGGGGAGCAAACGGGAUUAGAUACCCCGGUAGUCCUAGCCGUAAACGAUGGGCACUAAGUAGAGGGAAUUACCGAUGUUCUCUCUGCCGUAGCUAACGCAUUAAGUGCCCCGCCUGGGGAGUACGGCCGCAAGGCUAAAACUCAAAAGAAUUGACGGGGGCUCGCACAAGCGGUGGAGCAUGUGGCUUAAUUCGAUGCAACGCGAAAAACCUUACCGGGGCUUGACAUGGUAGAAGUAGGAACCCGAAAGGGUAACGAACGGUAUCCAGUCCGUAGCUAUUACAGGUGUUGCAUGGCUGUCGUCAGCUCGUGUCGUGAGGCGUUGGGUUAAGUCCCCUAACGAGCGAAACCCUUGUUUUUAGUUGCCAUCGGGUUGUGCCGGGCACUCUAGAAAGACUGCCGUCGUCAAGACGGAGGAAGGUGGGGACGACGUCAAGUCAUCAUGGCCCUUAUGCCCCGGGCUGCACACGUGCUACAAUGGUCGGUACAAACGGAAGCGAAGCCGAGAGGUGAAGCGAAUCC
rnacentral:rRNA from 1 species